rnacentral:ncRNA from 1 species
UAUAACUAACGAGGAUGGGUGAAAUUCCCUACCGGUGGUAAAAGUCCACAAGUCCAUUUGGGAUUGAUCUGAUGAAAUGCAGAACCGACAGUAAAGUCUGGAAGGGAGUUAGAUUAU